UACGUAGGGUGCGAGCGUUAAUCGGAAUUACUGGGCGUAAAGCGUGCGCAGGCGGUUGGUUAAGUCUGAUGUGAAAGCCCCGGGCUCAACCUGGGAAUGGCAUUGGAAACUGGCCAGCUGGAGUGUGGCAGAGGGGGGUGGAAUUCCGCGUGUAGCAGUGAAAUGCGCAGAUAUCAGGAGGAACACCGGGUGGCGAAGGCGGGUCUCUGGGCCGAUACUGACGCUGAGGAGCGAAAGCGUGGGGAGCAAACAGG
rnacentral:rRNA from 1 species